ACGAACGUUGGCGGCGUGGAUUAGGCAUGCAAGUCGAACGAAGACGGGGUAGCAAUAUCCCGGACUGAGUGGCGAAAGGGGCAGUAAAGCGUGGGUAACCUACCCUGGGGACCGGGAUAGCCUUUCUAACGAGAGGGUAAUACCGGGCGACGUAGCGAGGGGGCAUCUUCUUGCUACCAAAUGAAUUUCGCCCCGGGAGGGGCUCACGUGCUAUUAGCUUGUUGGUGAGGUAACGGCUCACCAAGGCUGAGAUGGCUAGCAGGUGUGAGAGCACGACCUGCGCCACUGGCACUGAGACACUGGCCAGACUCCUACGGGAGGCUGCAGUCGAGGAUCUUUGGCAAUGGGCGCAAGCCUGACCAAGCGACGCCGCGUGCGCGAUGAAGGCCUUCGGGUUGUAAAGCGCUGUCGAGGGGGAGGAAGCUCCGUAAGGGGUUGACCUAUCCCUGGAGGAAGGACGGGCUAAGUUCGU
rnacentral:rRNA from 1 species